rnacentral:lncRNA from 1 species
CCUGGAUGUGGCCCCUGAAGGCUCAGGGCCAGAAAGACUGCUCUGAGGCUUCACCACGGGGCACCUUCCAGGAGGGCCAGCCGUGUCAGGAGGUGGCAUGGGACCAGGGUGUCAAUUAAGCAGAGUUUUGAAAAUGUGUGCGCAGCAGAUGCCUUUCAGGACCCCUCUCGUGGACAGCUCCCAGUGGCCACUGCCACUGGGCGAGCCCUGGGCUACACAGGGCCAAGGGCAGAAACCUCGGGCCAGGAGCUCACCCCAGUGAGGCAAGACUCCAGGACCCUGGACCCCCUCCAGGACCCCCUGAGCAGGAAGAGGAGGGCUCCCUCCCCUGUGUCCCAGAGUCACGGGCGCUGGACCUCUCUCUGGGCCACAGGAGGCAGGACCAGCUGUAGAUCUGAUGAGCCUAGAGCUAAAUCAAGGCAAUUAAUUUAUGAGUUGCAGCAAGUUAAUUAAAACGUUUACUUGCCGAUGGCUCCCGGCCAGGACCUGAACGAGGGUUUUCCCGCAGAUUCCAUCUAUUUGGGGACUCCCAGGUCUGAAAUGGCCACGCUGAGCUUCUAAUGUGCCCCCCACAGGCUGGCGCUCCCACGCAUGUUACUAAUGCAGUGUGGUGUUGCCAUUCUGACAUUAAUGAAUGAACGACGGCAUGGCUGCGGUCACUGCUGCCUGUGGCGUCCGCCCAUGAGGCAGGGUGAGCAGCUUGGGCAACAAGGGCAGCUGGAGCCAUGGAGACCCUGGCUGGAGACGCUGUGCAAACCCCUAGCACAGGUGCCCGGCCCUGCAGGCGUCACCCAGCCCCAAGCAUAUGUGGCCAUGCAGGCCCUGCCCAGGUGUGUCCAGGAGAGUCCGAGGGCACUCACGGCCAGGCAUCUCCCUGAGCACAGAUCCAGAGCCGCGGGCCUUUUGCGAGGGUGGGUCCAGAGCUGGGGGGAGCUCCACCCCUGGCUACAGCCGGCCCCAGGGAGGGGCACUAGCCUGGUUUCUGCAGGUCUGGAAGCUGCUUUCAUUCUGUCAUCUGCAGAAUGGACGAGAGUCGCCUUGCAGAGGACUCGGAGCUGGCAGGCACCCAGCCGCUGGCAGGAGCGAGCACAGGAGUGCUGCUGUGUAUCAUGGCCCCCGGGGGUCCUCGCCUUUCCUGGAAAGCCCUCACAGACGUGGCUGGGCUCCCCGCACCAGCCCACCCACCCUGGCUCCACGGCAGAGCCGCGGGUUCUUCCCCUUGGUCUGCAGGCCCCAGUCAAGCCAGGUGGGAGCAGCCUGGAGGAAUGUCCACCCAACCGGCUCUGAGGGGGCUUACCCAGGUCGGGUGCCUGUCAGCUCCCAGGGCCCUUGAAGGGUGACAGGAGAGGGUGGGUCCACAGGGGUUCAGCACCUCAGCCUGGCAAGAUCACCUGGUAAGGCAGCCCUGGCUCCUGCAGGGGGCAUAAAAUUCCAGGGGUUCUACCUGGGCGUGCACUAUGGAAGGCACAGCCUGGCUCCAUCUCCAAGAGCCCCAACUCCAGUGACGGUCGAGCUUCACGGCAGCCCUCCCUGUGGUCAUGGUCCUCAGCCCCACAGAGCAAACUGUGGCCCAGGAGAGUCACAUGACUCCCAAGGUCACAGAGCCACAAAAGGGCCAAGCUGGCUUACAGCUCAGGCAAGAGAUUCAGGACCAGGGUACGAUUUCUCCAGGCACCUGCCUCCGACGGUCACAGAGUCUGGCCCACGGGCCUCCACGUGCCCCUGCAGCAGCCGUCCCUGACCAGCCCCCUCCCUUCUCCUGGUCCCUGGCUCUUUCUCCUGUCGCUGUCCCUGUCUGUCUUCUCUCUGCCCCUGUCUCUCUCUGUCUGUCCCUCUGUCUCGGUGUGCUUCUCUCUGUCUCUCCCUUGGGUGCUGAUACCUCUGGGACAUGUACUGGAGGCCAUGAGCAAUGAAGUCAGUCCCUCACGGGGGUCUGCAUACACUGGGGCUCACUCCACAGUUCAUCUGCAUGUCUUCUGCCCUUGACCUUGGGGCUGGCUCCUCUGGGGCUCUGGGACUUGGGCCAGAGCUGAUUCUGGAGAAGGAAAGCUCUUGGGACCUCUUUGUUCCCUCUUGGCAGCUUACCUGGGGCUGGGCCUCACACCCUGCAUCUCCUGCUCUCUGCUGGAUCCUGAGGCUGCAGGGGCUCUGCCAGCCUUUGUCCUGUGACUACUGUGGCUUCCCUGGGGAGAGGCAGGACCUUGGAGGACUUGGGCUCCUUUAGGGAAGAACGACUCUUCCUGCAGGCUGCUCUGGAUCUCAGCCCUUGGCAAGAUUUCCAGCAACUUAGGCCUUGGGUAAUGCCGUCAGCACAGAGGGAGGGGCUGUCUCGGCUGCGCCCACCCUGGCAGGAGCGGCCCCAUUCAGAGCCCAGGACACAGCCACGGAGCAGGGCAUGCCCCAUGCCGGCCACCUCAGCCACUCCAUGGGGCCAGCAGAGAAACAGACUGGUCCUGGCCCAGGGACCCAUGGACACACAUCACGGCGGCCCCACUGCCCACCCGGUGAACUUGCCCCAAAAGGGAGCUCCCACCUGGAGGAGGCUUCUGUGGACAAGGUCCCCCUAGAGGCACAGAGGCCAACUUGAGCUGCACUGGAAGGGGCCACCUGGGCGGCUGCAGCCGUAACUCCCUCCACAGCCUCUCAGUCGCACAUGGUUUGGAUGCUGCUGUUCUGAGGAUUUGGAGAAACCGCAGCUACUUCGGGGCAGUCGGGGCAAAGCUGCGCUGAAGCACCCUUCUGUUUGGGUUCACGCUUCUCAGCAGGGUCUGAAUGCUAACCCUGCUGUGAGGGCUGGC